GACGUAGGGCGCGAGCGUUGUCCGGAUUUAUUGGGCGUAAAGAGCUCGUAGGCGGUCUGUCGCGUCGGCUGUGAAAUCCCGAGGCUCAACCUCGGGUCUGCAGUCGAUACGGGCAAACUAGAGUAUUGCAGGGGAGACUGGAAUUCCUGGUGUAGCGGUGAAAUGCGCAGAUAUCAGGAGGAACACCGGUGGCGAAGGCGGGUCUCUGGGCAAUAACUGACGCUGAGGAGCGAAAGCGUGGGGAGCGAACAGG
rnacentral:rRNA from 1 species